GAAAUGCGAUACGUAAUGCGAAUUGCAGGACCCAGCGAGCCAUCGAAUUCUUGAACGCACAUUGCGCCCGCCGGAACUCCGGCGGGCCUGCCCGUCCGAGCGCCGCCUCGACACCACUCGUCCCCCCCCACGCUCUCUGUGGGAGGGGCGGCGUUGGCACCCGCCCGCGGUCCGUCCGCUGGCAGGAGCCCAAAUGGAUCGAGCGGCGCGACUCCCCCGUCCCCGGCGCAGCGACCGAAAGGACUCGCCGCGGGAGCCACUUCAGGGGGUGCCGCCGCCCCGCCCAAGCGCGGAGAAGCAUGCAUGACACACGUCGGCCUCGGAUCGGGCAGGGCUACCCGCUGAACUUAA
rnacentral:misc_RNA from 1 species